CGGGUUCUACUGAUUUGAGAGCUUGCUCAGAUCUGACGAUGGACAUUGCAAAGAGUGGCGAACGGGUGAGUAACACGUGGGAAACCUACCUCUUAGCAGGGGAUAACAUUUGGAAACAGAUGCUAAUACCGUAUAACAAUGACAACCGCAUGGUUGUUAUUUAAAAGAUGGUUCUGCUAUCACUAAGAGAUGGUCCCGCGGUGCAUUAGCUAGUUGGUAAGGUAAUGGCUUACCAAGGCGAUGAUGCAUAGCCGAGUUGAGAGACUGAUCGGCCACAAUGGGACUGAGACACGGCCCAUACUCCUACGGGAGGCAGCAGUAGGGAAUCUUCCACAAUGGGCGAAAGCCUGAUGGAGCAACGCCGCGUGUGUGAUGAAGGGUUUCGGCUCGUAAAACACUGUUGUAAGAGAAGAAUGACAUUGAGAGUAACUGUUCAAUGUGUGACGGUAUCUUACCAGAAAGGAACGGCUAAAUACGUGCCAGCAGCCGCGGUAAUACGUAUGUUCCAAGCGUUAUCCGGAUUUAUUGGGCGUAAAGCGAGCGCAGACGGUUAUUUAAGUCUGAAGUGAAAGCCCUCAGCUCAACUGAGGAAUUGCUUUGGAAACUGGAUGACUUGAGUGCAGUAGAGGAAAGUGGAACUCCAUGUGUAGCGGUGAAAUGCGUAGAUAUAUGGAAGAACACCAGUGGCGAAGGCGGCUUUCUGGACUGUAACUGACGUUGAGGCUCGAAAGUGUGGGUAGCAAACAGGAUUAGAUACCCUGGUAGUCCACACCGUAAACGAUGAGUGCUAGGUGUUUGAGGGUUUCCCGCCCUUUAAGUGCCCGCAGCUAACGCAUUUAAGCACCUCCCGCCUGGGGAGUACGGACCCGCCACGGAUUGGAAUCUUCAAAGGGAAAUUGACGGGGGGAAUCCCCCGCUAC
rnacentral:rRNA from 1 species